rnacentral:miRNA from 1 species
UGCUAGUGUGUGUGUGUGUGUGUGUGUGUCUGUUUGUCAGAUCCAUACACACACACACACACACACACACACACA